rnacentral:misc_RNA from 1 species
GAUGAAGGAACGUAGCGAAAUGCGAUAAGUAAUGUGAAUUGCAGAAUUCAGUGAAUCAUCGAAUCUUUGAACGCACAUUGCGCCCGUCAGUAUUCUGGCGGGCAUGCCUGUUCGAGCGUCAUUACGCCCCUCAAGUCCCCUGUGGACUUGGUGUUGGGGAUCGGCGAGGCUGGUUUUCCAGCACAGCCGUCCCUUAAAUUAAUUGGCGGUCUCGCCGUGGCCCUCCUCUGCGCAGUAGUAAAACACUCGCAACAGGAGCCCGGCGCGGUCCACUGCCGUAAAACCCCCCAACUUUUUAUAGUUGACCUCGAAUCAGGUAGGACUACCCGCUGAACUUAAGCAUAUCAAUAAGCGGAGGA